AGCAAAGUGGCGCAGUGGAAGCGUGCUGGGUUAGGGGUAACCCAGAGGUCCAUGGAUCGAAACCAUGCUCUGCUA